rnacentral:rRNA from 1 species
AGUUCAGAUUGCAGGCUGCAACUCGCCUGCAUGAAGUCGGAAUUGCUAGUAAUCGCAGAUCAGCAUGCUGCGGUGAAUACGUUCCCGGGCCUUGUACACACCGCCCGUCACACCAUGGGAGUCGGUAACACCCGAAGUCGGUAGCCUAACCGUAAGGAGGGCGCCGCCGAAGGUGGGAUUGAUGACUGGGGUGAAGUCGUAACAAGGUAAC